rnacentral:rRNA from 1 species
CCUACGGGUGGCAGCAGUGGGGAAUAUUGGACAAUGGGCGAAAGCCUGAUCCAGCCAUGCCGCGUGUGUGAAGAAGGCCUUCGGGUUGUAAAGCACUUUCAGUGGGGAAGAAAGCCUUGGGGCUAAUACCCUCGAGGAAGGACAUCACCCACAGAAGAAGCACCGGCUAACUCCGUGCCAGCAGCCGCGGUAAUACGGAGGGUGCGAGCGUUAAUCGGAAUUACUGGGCGUAAAGCGCGCGUAGGCGGUCUGAUAAGCCGGUUGUGAAAGCCCCGGGCUCAACCUGGGAACGGCAUCCGGAACUGUCAGGCUAGAGUGCAGGAGAGGAAGGUAGAAUUCCCGGUGUAGCGGUGAAAUGCGUAGAGAUCGGGAGGAAUACCAGUGGCGAAGGCGGCCUUCUGGACUGACACUGACGCUGAGGUGCGAAAGCGUGGGUAGCAAACAGGAUUAGAUACCCCAGUAGUU